GCUCUUUUCAUGAUCUGUCAUUUCAGACUCUAAUCAGCCUUUCAUUAAAAAUCUCAUAGCACUUUCUAUGAAAGUAAUCAUCGUGAUUUUUUAAGUGGUGACGCUGGACUCAUCUUUAUACCAGACACAAAUAAAAACAAGACCAGUUUCCAGCUGGGCUGGACCAUGAGACUUAGGUCAGAGAAGAGCAGUAUGUCACUUUCUGAUUGGCCACACCAAAGUAUCGGAAUUAGAAGAGUUUUUAUACUAGAUUUUAUAUGAUGCCAAUGGUGAACAAUAGAAAGAGUUUCAAAGGGCAACUCAGCUCACCUGAAAUCUGCAUCACAUCCUAGAGAUGCUAGUUCUUCUCCACUGGCUUUACAGGAGAUUAUGCAGGUU
rnacentral:lncRNA from 1 species